rnacentral:lncRNA from 1 species
GGGAGGUCUGUGACUCAUGUGUGUGAUAGAGAAUGACGAAUCAGAAUUGACUAACUGACUUCUGGGCAGUCCUAGAGCAGAGGGUCAACUGUGAUUGGUAGACAUAAAAUUAGGGGAAGACACAGGAAGUGACUCAAAGGAAACGUCUUUAAAAGGAGCUGUUUCUUCCUGUGAGAAGAGAAUUCUUCAUUCCUUGGAGUGCCGACCAGACUUGAGACCCUGUUUCAUGGUAAUGCUGAUAAAGAAUCUACUAACUGGACUGACACAUGCAUUCCUUCUAUCUUUACUCUGGAAAUGAAGAGAGAUUGGUAAAUUGCCUUUAAUUGGUAAUUAGCAGCUUCCUGCCAAAAGCCCAAGGCAUUUGAUUAACUAGACUAUGGUCUUCAUUGGAAAGAAAUCAUUUGCUGAGCACUGAAUUGUGCAUGAUACUAUUUUAGAUUGACCAGUACUUUGGUGGGUGCUGAGGAGAGAAUGAGUCUUGCGUCUAGACUGCCGCCAUACCCGGAAGUCCUCCUGGAUGUAUUCUUAAUCUAUCUUUCUCUUCACAAAUCAACUGAUCAGAUGUCAUCUAAUCCAACCCAUUCAUUUUUACAUAUGGAGAAAUGGAUUCUGAGAGAUGUGAGGUGUUUGUCCAAGGAUGUAGAGGAAACAUCAGCCUUGGCCUGGACUUUAGUCAUUAAAUACAUUUAUGCAUACAGAGAGGAAGAUUUAUCCCAUCAACUACAUACUGUACUUAAAAGUUGUGUGGCAUGAAACAAUAUCGAAUUUGCUUUUGUCAUUUUACUUUUGUAUAUUUUAGAAGCAGUGUAUUGUAUUAGAAGCAGUGUAUUGUAUCAGAAAGAGCAGUAUUCUUAGAGUAAGGAAGAUUUGAGCUUGAGUUCCAACUUUUACUAGUUGUGAGACCCUGGAUAAUUAACUUCUGUAAGUGGAAAGAAUUAUUAUUUGUUGUACAUGAUACAAUGUUUAUAGAAUACUACAUAUAUAUAAUACUACAUAAAAACUACAUAGUAGGUUCUUAAUAAAUGUUUGUUCUAGGGCA